rnacentral:pre_miRNA from 1 species
UUAUUACUCCCUUCGUCUCAAAAUUCUUGUCUUAGAUUUGUCUAGAUAUGAAUGUAUCUAGUCAUGUUUUAGUAUUUUGAUAAAUCCAUUUCUAGACAAACCUAAGACAAGAAUUUUGGGACGGAGGGAGUACUUC